CCUUAUGCACUCUUGUGUCUAAUAUCAGUAAAAAAAAACGCAACCGUAAAGGAAAGAAGGUCAGACCCUUGUCAAAAAGGAAAACUUUAAAUAAUUUUGGAACGAGUAGACGGAACGUAAUGAGCAAUUGCUGGCCAGAUAGACACGCAGCCUAAAGCCAUCGACUGCAGCAGAACAAACAAUACAACAGUUGAAUGUUGUGAUAGACACAAGCAACGUCGUAAAGCUUUCUGCUUUAUAAAUCGGCAGCGACUGUGUUGUCUUCAGAGUUGUAUGUUUUUAAGCCCCUUGGGUCACAUUAACCAGGCUCAAUCAUCAGCAUCAACACAGGAGGGCUCUGACAUAACACAAGUUCUAUUUUUGUUUUCAAUUUUAUGACACAAAUAUCUCUUUAUCAUUGAAGCUUGACAGCUAAAAGAAAUUGUUCGACACUUGCCAGCUUUCAAUUGCAACUGCUCUGUGAAAGAAGAGGGACUAACUGGAAAAUUACUCUUAGCGAUUCACUGUGUAACUGUUUGACUCUACUUACUUCUCAUUUAUUCUUCAUCAAGAAGAAAGUGGCACCUUAUAACCCUUUUUUGUUCACAUAUCACCUAAGAACCAGAAUUGCUGAGCACUUAGCUCUAUAUUUUGAAAAUUGUUGUUUGUUGUCUUAUCGCAGGCCCUGAUCCAUGGUUCAGGAUAGCAUUAGUUGAAGGCCCCACUCAACCCAAAAGAAGAAAAUUGCAUACGAUAAUUGCAAAAAGAACUUUGGACUUCAGCCAACCUGUGCAGUAGACAGGAUCUACAACAACAUCUCAUUCUAGUCCCUAGUUCACUGCGAGGACUUCAGCCUUAAGCUGCGAUUCUUUAGGAAGUCCUGUUCAGGUGGCUUAUUCUCCUGUUUCACCAGUUGUAUGCUGCACUCUUGUAAAAGCGAGACACUGCUAACUCAGGGUCUAUUCUAAUAUGGAAAGUAGCGGCUGUCUCUGGGACUGGAAAACAGUCUUGCGCUUUAGUUAGCCUUAGUACAUUAAAGUAAUCCCACUGAAGAGGCUGUCACUGCUCCAGGUUCUCCAAAUCAAGAACUAGUAGCAACUAUCAGUCACAAGACACCAACUAAGCCAAAAGCAGAAAACUAAAACUGCUUGGUCACCAUGGUAUCUGUCCUGGUGAAAAUAAAGCAGGUGACUUUGAGUUCAGAACAUUGUAGUUGUGCAAGUGCAGUUGUAAGACAGACCACUGAUAAUGCUGAAAACUCAAGAAGUUUAUGUCUGUAAAACUACUUUUCUGAAUACUUUAUCAAUGGGGAUAUUUCAUGAUGGAUAGUGAUACUAGUAUUUGCUGCAACUGGAGUCCAAACUUCUACUGACAAGAGAGGCAAGCACUUCGAUUGCAUUGAGCAAAAGUGAAGGUUGUCAAAGCUAAUGCCUCCACCGUUGGAGCCCUGACUUAUUAAAAUGACGAUGGUGGGAAUGAGAUAACUGUCGAUACAUGACUUCACAAUGUGGGGCGUCCAGUACGACUGAAAAUUUACCUGUGACUUCUGCUUUACUUCGGAAAACCCUAGCCAAUCCUUCUAAGUACCAUGGAUUUUGUGAAAAUGUUGUAAACAGUGUCAAAGAAAGUUUUGGUAGUAAUCGAUGGAGAGAGAAUGAAGAAGCAGUUGACAAUGAAGUAUAUUGAAAGAGAAGAAACAGAGAGGAAGCAAAUGAACAGAGAGAAAUUGAAGAAAAAGAAGAAUUAUAAUGAAGGCUCUAUAUGUUCAAAAUAAUUGUGAUACCUCAGGCUUUGUAUAAUAACUUCUGUUCCUAUUUAUAAGUUUUUACUUUGUCAUUGUUCCCUUUAUCUUUAUGUACCUUAAAACAAUUAGCAGUGCACUGAUCUAAUGUAGUGUGAUAUAAACCCACUGUUUAGUAUUUCUGAUUGGCUAGUCAUUAAUGUUAAUUUGAUACAUUCAUUUACUUUAGUUUUAAAUUUUCAUCUUCUUAAAUUUGAUUCCCUAUAGGCAAAUUCCUAUAUGGCCUAGUGUUGUCAAAACUGCGAUUUUACUGUUGUCUAUUAAACAUGGUAACUAGUACUUCUAUGCCAAAAGAAUCAUUUUCCUCUAGCCUUUGAUGUACUGAAUAACACUUGGUCAGUAUGACUUUCAACCUACUUGACCUGCUUCUGGCUAAUCAUUUUGAAUAAGGCAAGUUCUUUCUUGGAAACAUGUGCCAAAAAGCAGAUAUAUUUGACUAAUGAAUCAUAUCCACAUCCGCCACCAAAUUUUAAUUUUGUCAACAUGACUGACAUGUUUGUCAUGAAUAGAUCAAUUAUAUUCUGAAGUAGCUGUCCAUGAUUUGAAAAUUAGAAUAACUUACUUCUUAUGACUUUGAUUCAUAAGUUUCUCACUUCCCCUCUCCAAAAUUAAUUGUUUCCGCUCACAACUGUGCUGUUCUUUUCUGCAAUUAACCAGAAAGAGAGGAGAGUCCUACGUUUCAUUGGCACAGACUAAGUAAUGAUUGUGGAAGCACCCUUUUACUCCUACUCAAAAUACCUUCCAUACAUAAUUAAUGAACAAAGCCAAUCAUCCUGGAUUGUGUGAGUCCAUGUAUUUGGACAAAAAUUGAUCAUUUAUACUGUAGGUAGCAAAGCACAAUAGAAAAUUGAUCAAAGUUGUAUUUGAAGGCUUGUUUAACUGUAGCCAAGGCUUGGGUGGCACCCUUUGAAAGUUUUCCUAGUGCAUAUGAAUUAAUCUCAUGGGCAGAGCAUUUUAAAACACUCUGGAGCAGACAAUGACAACAAACGAUUCAGUCAAACUUUUCUUCUGGUUAUCUUAUUUGGUGCGGUCCAGCAGCAAAGUGUUCAUGGGUUUUGGUUUGAGAAAAGAGUCCCUAGCAAAAGGUAGAUGAAGAAAUAGAGAUGCAUUGAAUUUCAGUAAU